rnacentral:ncRNA from 1 species
CAUCUUCGGGGCAGGGUGUAAUUCCCGACCGGCGGUAAUUAAAGUUGUAGCCUCUGACCAUUUACUUGGAGGACGUUACAGUAAACUUUUCGAGCCCGCGAGCCACUUUUUGUGUGCAGGAUUUGGUGCGAUUCCAAAGCCGACAGUAUAGUCUGGAUGGGAGAAGGUG